GACCAACCCUCAAAGACUGCUGCAUCUUUAGGAUAUUCUAGUCCAACAUCGAGGUCACAAACUCUUUUUUCGAUAAGAGCUCUCAAAAAGAAUUAUGCUGUUAUCCCUAUGGUAACUAAUUUCAUUAAUCAAAAUUUCUGGAUCAAGACUUGAAGGUCGUUAUGAUAUUAAAGAAGCUUUAUUUGUUCCUUAGUCGCCCCAACCAAAAUUUUAGAUCGAUAAAUAUUUAGAAUCUAUAUAUUAUUUUCCACCUAAUUCUUUAAAGCUCAAUAGGGUCUUCUUGUCUAUCAAUUAUAUCUAGGUUUCUUCACCUAGAAAUCAAGUUCUAAAAAAUUACAUAGAGACAGUUUUGUUCACGUCAAACCAUUCAUACUAGCCCUCAAUUAUAGGGCAAAUGAUUAUGCUACCUUUGCACGGUCAGAGUACCGCGGCCGUUGAAAAGUUAUUCACUGGGCAGGUCCGACUC
rnacentral:rRNA from 1 species